rnacentral:rRNA from 1 species
CGCGCAGGCGGUUGUGCAAGUCAGUUGUGAAAUCCUCCGGCUUAACCGGAGAACUGCAUCUGAAACUGCACGACUCGAGUACAGAAGAGGGAAACGGAAUUCCCGGUGUAGAGGUGAAAUUCGUAGAUAUCGGGAGGAACACCAGUGGCGAAGGCGGUUUCCUGGUCUGAUACUGACGCUGAGGCGCGAAAGCGUGGGGAGCAAACA